ACAUGCUAUGACGAAAAUACUCCAGGUACAUGUUUUGUCUGGAUCGAUUGAGAGCGACCCGUUCAUUCCCUUUCAUUCACGACCUGAGCAGAUGAAGCGACCGGCGGCGGCUCCCAGCGGGCGGCCUGAGCAAAGGAAGAAAGGGAGUUUGGCGGCGGGAAUCCUGGGAGCACGACCACCACUCCCCUGCGACGCUAGGAACGAACCCCCCUCAUCCCGCCCCCGUAUGUGCUCAGAGCCCAGCUGGGGCUUGCGUAUGACAUAGCAGGCCAAAGGACGAGCCUGGAGCCGGGAGGUGCAGCGGUGUGGCCGUGCCACGCCGGGGAAGCAGCUGGCGGCGGAGGCGCACCGGCGACCGGAGAGGUGCAGCACUAGGGACGGAGGUACAGCAGCAAUGAGACUGGAGUGGUGCAGCCGUACAGGCGAGCGUCGAUGCGAGGCGGCAGUUCAUCCUGCCCCGUUGUGAGCAGCAGAGAAAAGGGAUUACAGAUUACCAAUCGCCAGGGGUAGUUGUGUCAUGGAGUUUUGUUUGGAUCCUCAAAUGAAACGAAAAUAAAUUAAAAGGGCAAACAAUAGAGGCAAAGUAAAUAGUGGCAAAUAAUAGAGGUCAAAGUAAAUAAGGACAAAUUGUAGAAUGCCAAAGUAAACCAUGGCAAAAAGUAAAAUUCCCCCCCCCCCCCCCCCGUUUCCUCUCCUCCCACCUCAUUCAUUGCUUUUCUCCAACCAAUUCAAGGGUGGAUGGCAUCCAUGGACGCCGCUCAAGCAUCUCAAAAUCUUUCAAGGGCACUACCGGCCGCGUGGUAUCGCUCCCGCUCCAUCCUUUUCCUAAGGAACCAUUGGACAUGGCAAGGACGGAGAUGGAUGCGUGUACCAGCGGAUGCGACGUCCUCACCAGGCUCAGCCGCCCAAGCCCCGAGUGGAGGACGAUGGCGAGCUCGACCCCACACUUCUCUUCUCCGUCCUGGAGGAAUAAGGUAACCAGUGAAGUUCCCUGUCUUCCCUUUCCGCAGGCAGCAGAUGGAGGAGAAGCAAACAUAUCUCGCAGAUGACGCGCAGUGCACUCAGCUCCUGCCCCUCCGUACCUCUCUGCAGCAGCGCCAGGCUUCUCUUUCCAUGCCUCACCGUUCUGACCCCCGACAUCUCUACUGUGGAGUUGAAUCGGUCUUUGGCAUGAAGACGUUCUCCAUCCAUAUGUACUCAGCUUUUGAAGAUUUACUAUUUAGAGCUCCUAAUUGCAUCCCAAAUCCUACCACUUUAUAGUAUAGAUCCUGAUAGUAAUGUGCUGGUGUAAAUUCAGUUGGAUGACAUGUUCAAUUUGGCAGCAGAUUUCCGUUCUUAACAUCUUUUUCCACAGAGAGCUAUCAACCUGAAAAUACAGGCCAUAAUGAAUAACUAUCUCCAUCUUAUGCUAUACGAUUCCAGUGUUCAGCUAGCACAUCCAAGAGUAUAUUUAAACACCUUUCUAGCUCACCUAGAUAAGUUUCGAUUAGAAAGAUAUUGUCAGCUGCCUGCUUACUAUCUUUUCCAUUCUUUUUGUACAUUUUUUAAUUUUGAUCUUCGCGAAAACUUAGAACUAACCAGGAGAAAGGGAAGGAAAACACAUGAGAAGAUCAGUUUUGAUUAGAAAGAUAUUGUCAGCUUGCCUGCUUACUAUCUUUUCCAUUAUUUUUGUACAUUUUUUUAUUUUGAUCUUCACGACAACUUAGAAUUAACCAGGAGAAAGGGAAGGAAAACGCAUGAGAAAACUUCAUUAUUUUUCCAUCUGAUCCUAUUCUUUCAGGAGUAGCUGAAUUUUUUUUAUUUCUGCAAUUGGUAUAAUUAAUCAAUAUAUGCUAUUUUUUCAGGGCUUCGUUGGCGCGGUGAUGUGCCACCUCUGUGUUUCACAGUUGCCAUCAUGUUUGCUACUUCAGAACUUGAUGUUCUCACUUCGUGUGCUGGAAGGAAGACUGAACAUUCAUUAAGUUAGCUCAAUGUCUUUUUUGCUGAGUUGUCAUAUUAACAUAGUGUCGGCGUUUGACAUUGUAAGAGUGCAUUGAACUAUUCUUCAUGUCUCAUGAAACAUAUGCAUAGUUUAUUGCAUGGUUGGACAUACACUCAUUUUCUUGCACUUCAGCGACUACAAUGUCCAGAGCUUCAACAGAUGGAUGCAUGAAGCAGCCAGGCAGCACAACUGUAAUAACAUAAGCUUUCUAAUUGGUGACGUUUCAUCCCCUGAGUGUGCCUUCCAGGUCAUUUACUCUUACUGCAUUCUCAUCAUUUGUUUAAGUAAUUUACAACUAAUGCAUUGAUUAGUAUUCAUGUGAUACUGAGGAAAGUGAUGUUCCUCUCCUCAUGUAUAUCUGAUUUAGGGUGGCUUUAUUUUUUAUGCGGGUGCAGUCCGUUCAGUCCUCAUGAAGGCCAUCUUUUCGUCCAUUUUUCACUUUGUUCAAAUAUCAUGUGGUACUGAUAGCUAGACCAAUUAGUUCUGAGUUGUUGCAACAAAAUUUUGAUGUGUUGAUCGUUGAUAUUUUGAAUAGGUUAUAUAAAGAGGACACAAACUACACAGUGAGUUGGCAUCAGCUUCUUUAUCUGUAUGAUUCUUUGCUCAAGAGAGGCUAUGUAGCUAAAAGAGAAGACAACCUGACAACUCCGUGGCGUUGCUUAUUUUGAACAUGAGGUCGUCUUAUCUAAAUUAUCAUUUUCUAUCCAGUCUUCAAUUAUUCACACUGCAAUAAUAGGUAACUGAAUGUUCCUCGCAUUUGGAGUCUUUAUUUGUAGUAGUAAGGAACCCAACAGCUCCUCACCUUGACGGUGGCCUCCGCCCUGCCAGUGAUCUGCCACCGCUUGGUUAGCGCUAGACGACUAACAGUGCUGAUGUCUGCUCCAGAUCAGGGACCAUGGCAUCUCCUGGAAGCUGCCCUGCUGCCACCCAAAUAACGGCCAGAAUAUGAACGAUGCAGUCAGCAAGGUGGUGCGCGGAGGACCGGGCUAGCAGACUAAGCCCACAGUAGGAGCUGGGUUCCUUGCCAGCCAAUCCAGUGGAGCAGUUCAAAGAGAAACUGAAGGAGGGUUGGUCUACAGGCUCGAGCCAUUCACGGUUGUUGCUGACUGGUCUAAAUACAGGACAUCAAACCACCUCUAUAAGAUUAGAAUUAGUCAGAACACAAAGGUCAAUGAUGUCGUGCCGGUGCCUGGAAACUUCCAUUUAUACGCAUAUGACGCAAAGCCAUUUGAUUAUGUGCACUGCCUGAGGGUAGAGAUGCAACUCUGCUUGCCAAUGCUUGGCUUGCAUAUGUAUUCUAUUUGACAGUGGUUCUAUGAAUUUGAUUUGAUCUUCAUACUUUAAAGCUUAUCAUGGGAUUUUGAGUGUACAAGCGAUAGCCGUAGGUAAGGGAAAUAUUUUCAUGUCUCAGUGCUAGCUAGCAUUGUCAGUUUAUCUGGUUCUCUAAUAUAUCUGCGGCAUAAAAAAGUAGAAA